rnacentral:rRNA from 1 species
UACGAAGGGGGCUAGCGUUGUUCGGAAUUACUGGGCGUAAAGCGCGCGCAGGCGGCUAUCCAAGUCAGUGGUGAAAGCCCGGAGCUCAACUCCGGAACUGCCAUUGAAACUGUUUAGCUUGAGGAUGAGAGAGGUGAGUGGAAUUCCCAGUGUAGAGGUGAAAUUCGUAGAUAUUGGGAAGAACACCGGUGGCGAAGGCGGCUACACUGGCUCGAUUACUGACGCUCAGGCGCGAUAGCGUGGGGAUCAAACAGG